CAUCACGUGGCCAGCUGCAGCAUUAACCUUAUCUUUCCGAGCAAGUUGCUGCUCUAAGGCAUUUUCUGAGCAAGUUGCUAGGAUGCCCAACACUCCCGUGCAAGUUUGCCUAGCACAAUGCUCAGCCAUCCCGAGCAUUGAUGCUGAGCGAGAAUUUCAAGCAGCACACCAAGAAAGCUUUUCGAGCACUACACCGAGCAACACAGUGAACAAUGCAACAAUCAGCCUUCUGAGCAAUGUGCUUGGUAUUCUGAAUAAUUGUGUCGAGCAAAUGCUCGGCUAUUCAGAGCAAUAUACUCGGUCAUCCUGAGCAAUUUUACCAAGCAUAUGCUCGGUCAUUUCAAGCAGUUGUGCUGAUCAGCAACAUGCUCGGUCAUUUCAAGCAAGUGAGCUCGAAUCCUCCUUCAAUCUUACUGUUCGGUCUUGGCUCAAUGGUCAGAAUUUUUUUACCUUACUCCAAGUCUGGGAUCCAACUUCCACUACGAGAAAAUUGGUCUAUCCCGGCGAUUUUUAGUCGUUGCAAAUAAUAUCACUGGGAAAGGUAUUCUUUCGUGUCGAUUUCCAAAUCGCCGGUUUCAAAAUCAAAUACAACCAAUCGUACGCUGGGUCCUUUAAUCAGGGCUAUUGUAACGCUUUGAUGGUCUUUGGCGACAAUUAAAAUCGUUGGGAAAAAAAUUAGCUUUGCGACGCUCUAAACUACAUCGCAAUACAUUGUGUAGGCACCAAAUCGAUCUCUUGUUUAUCGAAGAGUAAUUUUAUUUUCCCCCCAACACCCAGCUUCUGCACUUCGAAUAACCCUCGACUACAAUGCACCUGCAUUGCGACCCUACCCAGUGUUUGCGCACGAUGUCACCUCCUUUGUCUUUAGUGAAACCUCGUUUUCACUGUCCCAUUUUCCCCCACCCUUCUCCGAUCCGUUGUUGGUUCUCCAUUUUUGGCGAUCUUGCAAAAUGGAAAAAUCUAGUGUCCUUCGUUUCAGCUAGUAAUGACACUGUGACACUACAUUUCCUUCCCUUACAAAAUUGGUUCUGUGCCUCCAUUUCGUUUCCCAAGUUGAACUUUUGCUGCAGUCUAGUAUAAUCGUCAUCUGCUACAGGGAAAGGAACCAUCGUACAGCAGAACUUUAUAGAAGUUAUCAAGCAUUGCUGAUCCGAUAGCAAAAAUCGAGGCGCACUAAAGAUGGACAAAAGUUGGAUGAACGAGUCCGAUAGACUUUUAUCACCUCAUAUGCCGAAGGGGUUAAAAAUUUCCUCAUACAAGCACGAAACCAUGCAAGUGGAAGGGAUUGCAUUCGGUGUCCAUGCCGUACAUGCCUUAAUAAUCUGUGGUUACCUAUAUUUGAGGUGGAAACCCAUCUGUUUAUCAGAGGGAUCAAUCCAACUUACACCUAGUGGAUAUUUCAUGGGUAGGAGAAGACAACAUUUCACAUCAGUGACGAUGAUAUUGGUGAUGAGGUUAUACCAGAAGAUGAUUACAUCGAUGACAUAUAUCAUAUGUUGAAUGACAUCUAGGCAGGCACCUUUGUUGAUGUGCCCCAAGACAGCACUCAUGCGCCAAAUAGGCCACCAAUGCCUGAAGAUUCACCAGCAUCAUCUUUUGACCAGCUACUUGAGGAUGCCCGAUGUCCUCUUUUCGACGGGUGUACAAAAUUUUCAAAUUUGUCAUUUGUUGUCAAGUUGUUACACACCAAAUCAAUCGGUGGAUGGUCAAUUAAAUCAUUUGACAUGCUCCUUGAUCUGUUGUGGUCUGCCUUCCCUGAUGUGCUCUUGCCACAAUCAUAUAAGGAGUCAAGGUCUUUGGAGCGUGGUUUGGGUUUCAAGUACCACAAAAUCCAUGCAUGCCCCAACGACUGCAUCUUAUUCUGGAAGGAAAAUGCCGCUCUUAAUGAUUGCCCUGUAUGUAAGGCUUCGAGGUGGAUGCCAAAUACACACGGGUCACACGUGAUACCUCAAAAAGUGUUGCGUCAUUUUCUGUUGAAACCGAGAUUGCAGCGUCUCUUUAUGUAUGCAAAGAUAGCAGGUGAAAUGAGAUGGAAGACUGGCCGACUUUGAGUGCUAGAAGAAAUUUGAUGAGCAUCAUAGUUGGUUCGUUGCGGAUCCUCGUAAUGUUAGGCUCGGUCUGGCAAGUGACGGCUUCACUCCCUUCAACAACUUGGCUAAACCUCAUAGCAUUUGGCCAGGAAUCAUUGUCCUGUGUAACUUGCCAUUGUGGUCAUGCAUGAAAGACCAAUGCUUCAUGAUAUCUCUAAUUAUUCCUGGCCCAAAGUCACCAGGGAAUGAGAUCGAUGUUUGCUUGCAGCCGUUGCUCGAUGAACUUCUUGAAUUUUGAGAACAUGGGGUACCUACAUAUGAUGCCUCAACUAAGGAGACGUUUAUGUUGCAUGAUGUGUUAUUGUGGAUAAUCAAUGCCUUUCCUGCCUAUGGGAAUCUCUCUGGCUGGUCAACAAAGGGAAAAUUGGCUUGUUGGUCUUGCAAUGCUGACACAGACUCCAAUUGGUUGAAAUAUGGCCGAAAACAUUGUUAUAUGUGACACCGAUGUUUCUUACCGCCAAACCACAUAUGGAGAAAGAGGAAAAGGUUGUUCAAUGGUAGAGAAGAUCAUCGCAUGCCACCAAGGGAAUAGGUGGAGACGAUAUUCAAACUCAACUGCAGAUGAUUGGGGAGGUUCAGUUUGGCAAAUCUCGUAGGAAUGAAAAACACACUGCUAAAGAGCUGAACUGGACAAAGUGUAGCAUAUUCUUCACGUUACCUUAUUGGUCAACACUUCGACUUCGGCAUAAUUUAGAUGUUAUACAUAUUGAGAAGAAUAUUGCUGAUAACAUCUUAUUAACUUUAAUGAACAGUCUGGAAAAAACUAAGGAUAAUAUCAAUUCAGGGUGUGACCUGGAGAUUUUGGGCUAUAGAAAAGAAUUACAUUUGAGGUGUGAAGGUGAUCAUUUAACAAUGCCACAUGCACUAUACACAUUACACGGAGAUGAAAGGAGUAGAUUUUGUGAGUGGCUAUCCGAUAUCAAAUUUCCAGAUGGUUUUGCUUCCAAUAUCUCAAACUGUGUUUCUCUAUGUGAUUGCAAAAUCUCAGGGUUGAAAAGUCACGACUGUCAUGUUUUCCUUCAAAGACUACUCCCCAUUGCUUCUGGGGGGGUAUUUAAGAAGUGACAUUGCCUUGGCUUUGACUGAACUUGGUACUUUCUUCAAAGAGUUGUGCGCUCGAACACUGGAUGUGAAUCACCUAUCCCAGCUCCAAACUAAUAUCGCCACCAUUCUAUGGAAACUGGAGAUGAUAUUCUCUCCUUCCUUUUUCGAUGUCAUGGUCUACCUAGCUAUCCAUUUACCCGUGAGGCCAUACUUGGGGAUCCAGUACAAUAUAGGUGGAUGUACCCAUUUGAGAGGUAUCUCGGCAAAUUCAAGCAAUAUGUUAAGAAUAAAGUCCGCCCAAAAGGUUCAAUACCCGAGGCCUAUAUUCACACCGAAUGCUUGACAUUUUGCUCCAUGUACCUCAAAGACGUUGAGACGAGGUUUAGUAGCGCGGACCGCAACAUUUAUGUUGACGAAGAGGAAACUAUAGAUGGGUUUAGAAUUUUCAACCAGAAAGUUCGUCCCUUGGAUAUAGCUUCUAAUGUGCAAUUAGAAGAUAAACUCUCUAAGGCAGCCAUCUGGUACGUGCUCAACAAUUGUGCGGAGAUUGGACCCUAUAUAGAGGAACACUAUGAGAAAUGUAAGAUGCAACACCCAAAUUGCAUCGAUCACACGCAUCAAACUGAGUUUCCAACUUGGUUCAAGCAACGUGUAAGUUCUUCUCCAUCCCUAUCUACAUUGAAAUGUUACAGGUUUCCUUUAUAUGCUUUUGAAUGACGAAAAUAAACAUUGUGAAAUUUCAACAAUUUUCGUAUAGAUGCAGGAACAUCGUACCUCGCAUCCACUUAAUGUGUCCGAUGAUCUGUAUGCAUUAGCUUGUAGGCCUGCCCAUUGGGUUGCAUCAUAUGCCACUUGCGGGCCUGCCUGUUGGGCUAGUAAUUCUUUUGGUUUAAAGUUUUUUUUAGUUGCUGAGGAGAGUAAAAAAGAUGCUCAUUGCUGUUUUUUUCACUGUCACAUACCUUGGCUCAGUGACCACAUUAUUGGAGUUGCACUCCUGAUCUCUGAUUUCUAUUUUUUUAUUCAUUUAUUGAAAUUGUCAGAUUUGACAUAGAUGGGCAUGAGACUAGAUUUGGUCAUCCAGACUAGCUGAAGACAGAUGAAAAAAAUUCUUGGACAUCUCCCGUGGUUACUACUCUUGUCGAAGGAGGUGCCACUUGCGUUGGAAAAAUUGUUGUGGAUGAACUAGCUUAUGGUAUUAGUUGGGAUAAUAAGCAUUAUGGUACACUCGAAAAUCCUGCUGCAUCUGGAAGACUGCCAGGUGGAUCCUCUAGUGGAGCUGUUGUGGUUGCUAAUCUUGUUGACUUCUCCUUGGUCUGUUGAUUUUGUCAAAUACACGGAUGAGGAGUAUGAGAAGUCACGUGAUAGUGCUAUAUCUAUGAAAUCACCACCUUUCUCGAUCAAAGCCGAUAUGUAGAACUGUUGGGUGCCAAUGCUGAUGGACGGUCCCACUUAAAUAGAGUUGUGGAACUUGAUAGUAAUUAUUUCGGUGGAUAGUAGAGUUAAGCAAUAUGUUAUAACUGUGAUGUUUAUUUAGUAUUUAAUAUGUAGCUCAGUUUGUACUUGAUAUGAGAAUAUAAUGCACCACCCCAGUGUUUAUAUAUAUAUAU